GGCAUCUGGAGGAGACACACCCUGAAGUACAGUAAAUAACCUCCAGGACAUGGGAGCUUACCCUCAGAUAUUUUCUCCUGAUUCAGCUCUUCCUGGGAACAAGCGUCCCCUCUGGGCCCUCCAGGAGACCCCUCGCCCUGAUUGCUCCCACCAGACACCCACACGCCCCUCCACGAUCAGCGUCAGCCAGCGUUGUGCAGUCGGCCGCGCGGUUAGAUGUGGACAAUGGCGGCUAAUGUCACAGUGUCCUGUUCAUGGGAACAGCAGCUCCCUCCAGUGCCCCUUGGCCCUCGUCAGCCUCCUGGCUCUGCUCUGCAUCUCCACUUGUCACAUCUCUGAGCCGUGACUUCAUCUGUAAGAGGGGCCAGUCCUUGCACUGUUGAAGAGGAAAUGUAACAACAUGCACCGAGCCUGGUGCCUGGUAGGUGUCCCCAAGCAUUGUCACCUUCCUCAGUGUGGGGCGGGCAGUGGGGUCUGAGCGGCCAGGACAAACACAAGCCUCACAAUGCAGUGACAUUGCAGGUCAGCCCUUCCUCUAAGAAGGACGUUCCAGGUCAUCUGAGAACAAAAUCCUUAGACCCCAAAGGAAUUUUCACACCUGUCUUCCCUUCCUGGAGCCAGAAGAAAUAGGAAAAGUGUCCCUAGUGUAGCCACUCCAGAGCUUCUCUGUCUUUUCUUCUGUCAUUGCCCCCAUUCCCCCCAAG
rnacentral:lncRNA from 1 species